rnacentral:antisense_RNA from 9 species
AAUAACUGAAAAUAACAAUUGGACUAAAGGUUAAGUAGUAAUUUUCUUACAUCACCUUCCCUCCACCCCCGAGCCCAGGUAUCAUAUAUGCUCCCAAAAUAAAGAGCCUUGAAUACUAGAAGAAAAGCACCUAUGCCUAGCAAGAUUAAGUGAAUAACUAAAAAAUUAUUAUCAUUUUAUUUCUAUUUUUUUA